rnacentral:rRNA from 1 species
GAUAAGGUUAAGUGAAUAAGGGCGCACGGUGGAUGCCUUGGCACUAGGAGCCGAUGAAGGACGGGACUAACACCGAUAUGCUUUGGGGAGCUGUAAGUAAGCUAUGAUCCAGAGAUUUCCGAAUGGGGGAACCCAAUAUCUUUUAUAGGAUAUUACUUUUCAGUGAAUACAUAGCUGAUUAGAGGUAGACGCAGAGAACUGAAACAUCUUAGUACCUGCAGGAAGAGAAAGAAAAUUCGAUUCCCUGAGUAGCGGCGAGCGAAACGGGAAGAGCCCAAACCAACAAGCUUGCUUGUUGGGGUUGUAGGACUCCAAUAUGGUAGUCUGUUAGUAUAGUUGAAGGAUUUGGAAAAUUCCGCUAAAGAGGGUGAAAGCCCCGUAGACGAAAUGCUAACAACACCUAGGAGGAUCCUGAGUACGGCGGAACACGAGAAAUUCCGUCGGAAUCCGCGGGGACCAUCCCGCAAGGCUAAAUACUCCCUAGUGACCGAUAGUGAACCAGUACCGUGAGGGAAAGGUGAAAAGCACCCCGGAAGGGGAGUGAAAUAGAUCCUGAAACCGUGUGCCUACAACAAGUCAAAGCUCGUUAAUGAGUGAUGGCGUGCCUUUUGUAGAA